GAAAAGAUUGAACCCUAACUUUCUCCUUCUUGGUUGAACGAUUGUGACCCUCCUCCUCUGCUCGCACUGCUCAUCUUGGUGACCCUCCUCUCUUGAUCGCUGCAGCAUCUAGGGUUUCUCGAAGUGCAUGGGCCAUGGCUUCCCCUGCACAUUUCGACGAUGACUUCGAUUUCGGAGGCGAAAUUGGCAGAAGGCAUUCAGGUAGUAAGAGGCCAUCCCCGGAUUACGAUGAUGAUGAUUACGACAAUGAUCCUUUUGCACCGAAGAAGGUAACUGCUUGAUUGAUACGAAUCGCUUAUGCAAUUUUGCAAUGCAUGCUUUUAGCUUCGAUGAUUCCACCUUGUGUUCAUUCUUUUUUUUUUUUUCUCUUUCUGUCUUGAAAUUGGAUUAUGGGUUGUGGAUUGCGGAAAGUGAGUACUGCCAACCAAUUGCUAGUUCUUUUCUUACUAAAUCUGGUUUUUUUUCUUCUGGUUCUGGCUUCUUGGUUGCUGCAUAUUUUUGUGUGUGCCCUACUUUGAUUUAUGAUGGCAUCUCGGCUUAGCUUUAUGUUGGACUUUGGCUGGACUAUUCCUCCUAGUUGUUUUCUUCUGUUGGUGUGCCUGUGAGGUGUAAGAGCAAGUCUGCUUGGCUGUAAUGCUUUGUACUUAUGCUGCUGCUUCUUUUUCUUUUUCUUAGACAUGUUUCCUUUCCUCAUCUUUUACUGUUUUAGUCUUCUACUAUCUUAGUUUUAGUAUCUUCUUUUUCUAUUUUUUCUAGCUUGCUUUUUUUCCUUUUUUCAUGUAUCCUUGGAAGCACCUCACUUGGGAGAGUUUGUUUCCAAGACAUUUCUUUAUCAAUUGAAUGAUUUUGAUUCUCUAAAAAAAAACUUCUAUUCAGUUCAUGGAAACAGUACAUUGUCAAUUUUGCUGUUAUAUUUGCACCAUAGAGAAGCUAUAUGUUAUAUUAGUUAGAUUGUUAGUGGAUAUUUGCCUUAACAAAUAAAAAGG